AGAGUUUGAUCCUGGCUCAGGAUGAACGCUAGCUACAGGCUUAACACAUGCAAGUCGAGGGGCAGCGGGGAGGAAGCUUGCUUUCUCUGCCGGCGACCGGCGCACGGGUGAGUAACGCGUAUCGAACCUGCCUCAUACUCGGGAAUAGCCUUGCGAAAGUAAGAUUAAUGCCCGAUGUUUUCAGCGGUCCGCAUGAACUGUUGAACAAAGAUUUAUCGGUAUGAGAUGGCGAUGCGUCCCAUUAGCUUGUUGGCGGGGUAACAGCCCACCAAGGCAUCGAUGGGUAGGGGUUCUGAGAGGAAGGUCCCCCACAUUGGAACUGAGACACGGUCCAAACUCCUACGGGAGGCAGCAGUGAGGAAUAUUGGUCAAUGGACGCAAGUCUGAACCAGCCAAGUAGCGUGCAGGAUGACGGCCCUCCGGGUUGUAAACUGCUUUUAGUUGGGAAUAAAGUGCAGCUCGUGAGCUGUUUUGUAUGUACCAUCAGAAAAAGGACCGGCUAAUUCCGUGCCAGCAGCCGCGGUAAUACGGAAGGUCCAGGCGUUAUCCGGAUUUAUUGGGUUUAAAGGGAGCGCAGGCGGACUCUUAAGUCAGUUGUGAAAUACGGCGGCUCAACCGUCGGACUGCAGUUGAUACUGGGAGUCUUGAGUGCACACAGGGAUGCUGGAAUUCAUGGUGUAGCGGUGAAAUGCUCAGAUAUCAUGAAGAACUCCGAUCGCGAAGGCAGGUAUCCGGGGUGCAACUGACGCUGAGGCUCGAAAGUGCGGGUAUCAAACAGGAUUAGAUACCCUGGUAGUCCGCACAGUAAACGAUGAAUACUCGCGGUUGGCGAUAUACUGUCAGCCGCCAAGCGAAAGCGUUAAGUAUUCCACCUGGGGAGUACGCCGGCAACGGUGAAAC
rnacentral:rRNA from 1 species